GGAAUCGCCCAGCUGUCCCCUCAGACGGCAGCCCGUGGCCGUCCCCUUCGCCGUGGGAUGCGGGGAUUUGGGGCGGCUGAAGGAGUCGGGGCCCCACCACCACAGCGCUGCUGCCCCCAUUAGGGCCUGGAACUCUGAGCCUCCAGCUCUGCUCACGGUGCCCCCCAAGGCUGAGGUUGCAGUCUGCAGUCUGCUGAUCCGAAAGAAAGAAGGCGGCUUUUGGAGGACUUAAUCAUGGCGAGUCGAGCUGCUGCUGAACCUCCCCUUCCAACAUCCAGCAGGUUUGUUCUGCAGGCCCCAAUGAUGGCACAGGCAUGAAAGAGCCCAGAGCUCAUCGCUGGGGAGAGGCUGCGUAUGGCGUUGUGAAGGGAGAGAUGGAGGAGGGGUUUGAGCAGCGCUGUGCAGGAAUGAACGGCUGGUAAGAGAAGAGCUGACUUGGAUUUCUUCUGCCACUGUCCCGUGAAGGUGUUGAUUUGCUUCAGUCCAUCCCUGCUCCGUUCCUGGCUCUGGUAUCCCUUGUGGCCACAGAGCACUGCAGCAGCAAAGCUCCAGUCCCUUCCCCGGUCUCAGUGGGAAUUGAGGUUUCUGCUGCGUUUGUGGCUUCCUGCUGGGGAACUCCUCAUCUUCUUCUGCGACUGCCCCCCAACGUCACUACUGCCUCCUCUGGUGCCGUACUGGCAGAUGCCUCAGCGUUCAUGAGCCUGGACUUCCUGCCUCCCAUCAGCAGCUGCUCCUUCAUUCAGACUGCAAUACCGUCCACUUCCAGCACCAGCAGAGCUGCAAGGCAGAGAUGGGAAACGUGGGAUGAAUGCAAACGCAGAAGCCCAAGGCUGUCCCACCACCACGUAUUGCAGCCUUGGAAGGUCAGCUGCAACUACAACCUCUGUCAGAAUCAAAACGGGCACCGUACAUUAAGGGUGACCUCUGAACUGAAGGAAUUACCACAGUCGGAAAUACAUACUGAAAUUGCUUAUUUAUCUGUAGGUGGUUACGGCUGUAUUCUUUGGCUUUGGGGAAAAUGUGGACUUGGAAUUGAAGGAUACAAGGAAAAGGAGCAGCACUUGGCAACUCCUGCAAACUGAGCAGUGCGGGGAAGAUUGUGUCAUUUCUUCUCCUGGCCUCUCAUUGGUCAGAUGCAACUCUGUGUCACCCCUCUGGACUCUCAUUGGUCAGCGGCAGCUCCAUCCUAUCCCCACAGCCCUCUUAUAUAUCAUUCUUUGCUUCUUGGAGCCCCUUCCUGCUGCUGCCGCUGCUUUGGGGGAGGGUCCGCUCUGCUCCCAGCUCAACGCCGGCCCGUGCCGACCUCUGAUUGGUCAGCGAGAGCUCGGUCCCACUCCUGGUGGACUCUACAUGGUCAGCAGCAGCUCCAACCCGCCCCUGUUAGCCUCUCAUUGGUCAGAUGCAGCUCCAUCCCUCCCCCUGUUGUUUCUCAUUAGUCAGCAGCAGCUCCGUCCCACUCCCAUCCAGCCUCUCAUUGGUUAGCGGCAGCUCUGACCCAUGCCGGCCUCUGAUUGGUCAGCAGCAGCUCUGACCCACCCCCGGUGGCCUCUCAUUGGUGAUCGGCAGCUCCAGCCUGCUCCUGCUGGCUCUCAUUGGUCAGCAGCAGCUCUGAUCCACCCCCGGUGGCCUCUCAUUGGUGAUCGGCAGCUCCAUCCCGUCCCUUCUGGCCUCUCAUUGGUCAAUGGCAUUUCUGGCCCUCCUCCAGUCUCUGAUUGGUGAGCGGAAGCACUGCCUUCUCCAAUUGACUGAGGGGCAGAGCGCGCCGUUGGCAACCGGCUUGGAAUCGCCCAGCUGUCCCCUCAGACGGCAGCCCGUGGCCGUCCCCUUCGCCGUGGGAUGCGGGGAUUUGGGGCGGCUGAAGGAGUCGGGGCCCCCACCGCUGUAGCGCUGCUGCCCGCAAUGGGGCCUGGAACCCCGAGCAUCCAGCUCUGCUCGCAGUGCCCCCCAAGGCUGAGCUGACUUGGGUUUCUUCUGCCACUGUCCCAUGAAAGAGUUGAUUUGCUUCAGUCCAUCCCUGCUCCGUUCCUGGUUCAAGCCAAGCUCCAGUCCCUUCCCUGGUCUCCGUGGGAUCGGUUUGUUCUGUUCUCAUGCACUUACAGAAACAGAAGCUACGCACCCACCAAACCCUGGGACAGGUAUUUCCCUACAGAAGCAUUCAUGUCCUUCUCCUGGCCCCUUUGGCCAGUUCCCAGCUCUCCAAACUGAGGCAUACGGCUGCAGCCCUCCCCAUGGCUUCUUUGGGGCAGCUGUGGGGCAGCCCCACCCCGAGGAGGAGAUGCCUUUUCCCCACACGCAGCUGGUUCUACGGACACAUGGGGUGAGGACGUGGGGUUGUGGGUCACAUGGGGGUCCUGCAGGGUCACAGAGUUACAAGGUGAUGUGGGGCUAUGGGGUCAGGUGGGGUUCUGAGUCACAGUGAUGGGGUCAGAUGGUAGGGACAGGGAGUUACGGAUCACAUGGGUUGUAUGUUUGGGUGAGGUGGGGGCAGGGAUCCCAGAGUUAUGGGGCCACAUGGCAUUGGGUCACAGCGUGAUGGGUGCAGGCAGAGUCAGGGCGUCACAGGGUCAUGUGGGGGUAUGGUUCCCCCAGAGCUGUGGGUUGCGUGCAGCCAUGGGGUCACGCACAUACAGCGUGAUGAGGUCAUCUUGGGUUAUUGCUCAUGUGGGGUUACGGCUCAGGGCCCCACGUUUGGGCCACAGGGACGCCCAGUCCCCUCUCAGGAUGAAUUGAAACCACUACAACCCACCCCCCCCUCACCCCCCCCGCUCUUUUUACCUCAAAUUGCUCCCCACAUCCUCCCAUACCCCCUAUGUCUCCAUACUACGCCAUGUACCUGUUUCCCACCUGCAGCCCACAUCUUGACUUCUCUUGGACAGCAUUCUGCUCCUGCAGCCUGUGUUCCCAUAUCCCCCGAUGUCCCUAUAUCCCUCCCACACCCCACACAGAGCCCCAUAGCUCCUCAAGGACCUUUUCCCGGUACACCUCCCCCCAGCAACCUGGGACCUCACAGAGCCCCACAGUCCCCAGCAGCACCCCACGUCCCCCUCUGAGCUCCCACUGAACUCCCCUAUUUCCUC